rnacentral:rRNA from 1 species
GACGAACGCUGGCGGCGUGCUUAACACAUGCAAGUCGAGCGGUAAGGCCCUUUCGGGGUACACGAGCGGCGAACGGGUGAGUAACACGUGGGUGACCUGCCCUCAGCUCUGGGAUAAGCCUGGGAAACUAGGUCUAAUACCGGAUAUGACUCCAUGACGCAUGUUGUGGGGUGGAAAGCCUUGUGCGGCUGAGGAUGGGCCCGCGGCCUAUCAGCUUGUU